rnacentral:lncRNA from 1 species
GAUGCGACCCCACACUUCUGGAUUGGAGUGACCAAGGGAAGGCAGUGCUGUUCAUAAACACAGCAGCAAAAAAGCCAGGGACCUUCAGGCUCCAGAGCCACCUGAGCCCUUCCUGUACCCCUCCCUCCUGCAGGUGCACUCACCUGGGCUACAGAGGUCAACGAGCUGUAAGGUGGCAUUUUUCUGGUCCACUGGGUUGCUGAGGACACAGGUGAAGCUGACAUUGGGCUGGCUCGGUGGCAGGCUCAAGGCCAGGGUCCAAGGGUUGGGGGGUCCUGGUGCCCCUCUCUGCUCCAGCUCACUGGGGGGACCCUGGACCUCCCAGGUUACAUUCAGGACCUCUACAGCCUCUCGGUUCCCACACUCCAGAGUGACAUUGCACCAGCUGGGCGUGAUGGACGCUGACGUGGUCCAGAUCUGGGCAAGGGGCACAGGAUCUGAGGAAGGAGGGGACAAAAGGAGACAGCCUCACACAUGCCACACAUUGUCCUCCAGUGUCUCGCUGACCAGAGGCAGGAGCCCUAGGAGGAAGCUGGGAGCACGUUACAAAUAAAGCACAAUUUCCCCAGAGCUACAUGUUGACAAGUGACAGCAGCCACUUUAUUAAGCUCAUGUGAUCUCACUAGAUGAAAGAAGUCUAAACUUUUUUUACCAUGAGAAAAUGAUGGCUGAAUCCCAGUUUUUAAGGACCAUUAUUCCUAGAAGAUAGGGGUCUUCUGGAAGGGAAGGAAGAGUGGGACAGAAGAGCUUGUCUGGGGCCAGGGUCCUUUGUCCUGGGUCUUCAGCUGAGACAGUGCCUGGGACUGCACAGCCUGAUUGGGGCAGGACACCAGGCCAGCUCUGGGAGGACCCAGAAAGCUCAGGUCAAAACAGGAGUCAUUGUGGGAGAUACCGUGGCUGCAACAGAGAGCACAGCUCUGCAGGCAGUUAGAAUGUGACCCUAAAUGUGUGCUCCCAACUGGGGGAGAAGGGUUAGAUCCACAGGCCAGUGUGGAAAUCACACAGGACCUGCACCUGGAGUCCACUCCCUGCAGAGGGACUGCCCUAGGCAGAGAGGGACUGUGGGGACCCUAGAGUUGGCAAAACGGAUCUCCUGGGACAUGCAGCAGCAUCACUUCUCCUACCCUAUAA